GAUGAACGCUGGCGGCGUGCCUAAUACAUGCAAGUCGAGCGAACGGACGAGAAGCUUGUUUUUCUGAUGUUAGCGGCGGACGGGUGAGUAACACGUGGAUAACCUACCUAUAAGACUGGGAUAACUUCGGGAAACCGGAGCUAAUACCGGAUAAUAUUUUGAACCGCAUGGUUCAAAAGUGAAAGACGGUCUUGCUGUCACUUAUAGAUGGAUCCGCGCUGCAUUAGCUAGUUGGUAGGGUAACGGCUUACCAAGGCAACGAUGCAUAGCCGACCUGAGAGGGUGAUCGGCCACACUGGAACUGAGACACGGUCCAGACUCCUACGGGAGGCAGCAGUAGGGAAUCUUCCGCAAUGGGCGAAAGCCUGACGGAGCAGCGCCGCGUGAGUGAUGAAGGUCUUCGGAUCGUAAAACUCUGUUAUUAGGGAAGAACAUAUGUGUAAGUAACUGUGCACAUCUUGACGGUACCUAAUCAGAAAGCCACGGCUAACUACGUG
rnacentral:rRNA from 1 species